rnacentral:tRNA from 1 species
AGCUCAGCUGGAUAGAGUGUUUGGCUACGAACCAAAAGGUCAGGGGUUCGAAUCCCUUC